rnacentral:pre_miRNA from 1 species
AAUGGUUCAACAGGGUUGGCAUGAGAACACAUGUAGUUUUCUUAUAAAUAAUGCAUCAUGUGUUCUCAGGUCGCCCCUGUAGAUCUAUU